rnacentral:rRNA from 1 species
AGUGAACGCUGGCGGUAUGCCUAACACAUGCAAGUCGAACGGCAGCACAGUAAGAGCUUGCUCUUACGGGUGGCGAGUGGCGGACGGGUGAGGAAUACAUCGGAAUCUACUUUUUCGUGGGGGAUAACGUAGGGAAACUUACGCUAAUACAGCAUACGACCUACGGGUGAAAGCAGUGGAUCUUCGCACCUUGCGCGAUUGAAUGAGCCGAUGUCGGAUUGGCUAGUUGGCGGGGUAAAGGCCCACCAAGGCGACGAUCCGUAGCUGGUCUGAGAGGAUGAUCGGCCACACUGGAACUGAGACACGGUCCAGACUCCUACGGGAGGCAGCAGUGGGGAAUAUUGGACAAUGGGCGAAAGCCUGAUCCAGCCAUACCGCGUGGGUGAAGAAGGCCUUCGGGUUGUAAAGCCCUUUUGUUGGGAAAGAAAAGCAGCAGGUUAAUAUCCCGAUGUUCUGACGGUACCCAAAGAAUAAGCACCGGCUAACUACGUG